UACGGGGGGGGCAAGCGUUGUUCGGAAUUACUGGGCGGAAAGGGCGCGUAGGCGGCUCGCUAAGUUGGAUGUGAAACUUCUGGGCUCAACCCAGAACCUGCAUUCAAAACUGACGAGCUAGAGUACUGGAGGAGAAAGCGGAAUUCCUGGUGUAGCGGUGAAAUGCGUAGAUAUCAGGAGGAACACCGGUGGCGAAGGCGGCUUUCUGGACAGUAACUGACGCUGAGGCGCGAAAGCUAGGGGAGCAAACAGG
rnacentral:rRNA from 1 species